UAAUUGUUAGUGUGUCUGUGUGUACAUCUAAUUGUUAUUGUCUUUGUGUACAUCUAAAUAUUAGUGUGUGUCUUUGUUUAGAACCAAAUGUUAGUGUGUCUUUGUGUACAUCUAAAUAUUAGUGUGUGUCAUUGUUUGGAACCAAAUGAUAGUGUGUCUGUGUGUAGAUCUCAUUGUUAGUGUGUCUGUGUGUACAUCUAAUGGUUAUUGUGUCUUUGUGUACAUCUAAUUGUUAUUGUGUCUUUGUGUACAUUUAAAUAUUAAUGUGUCUUUGUGUACAUCUAAAUGUUAGUGUGUGUCUUUGUUUAGAACCAAAUGUUAGUGUGUCUGUGUGUACAUCUAAUUGUUAGUGUGUCUAACCAAAUGUUAGUGUGUCUGUGUGUACAUCUAAUUGUUAGUGUGUCUGUGUGUACAUCUAAUUGUUAUUGUCUUUGUGUACAUCUAAAUAUUAGUGUGUGUCAUUGUUUAGAACCAAAUGAUAGUGUGUCUGUGUGUAGAUCUCAUUGUUAGUGUGUCUGUGUGUACAUCUAAUCGUUUAUUGUGUCUUUGUGUACAUCUAAAUAUUAGUGUGUGUCAUUGUUUAGAACCAAAUGAUAGUGUGUCUGUGU
ensembl:lncRNA